GUAAGCGUAUAAGGGCACACAAUGGAUGCCUUGGCACCAGAAGGCGAUGAAGGACGUGGUAAGCUGCGAUAAGCUUCGGGUAGUGGCAAACACACUUUGAUCCGGAGAUCUCCGAAUGGGGAAACCCAUCCCGGGUAAUGCCGGGAUACUGGAGUCUGAAUACAUAGGGCUUCAGAGCGACACCGGGGGAAGUGAAACAUCUCAGUACCCCGAGGAAGAGAAAUCAACCGAGAUUCCGUAAGUAGUGGCGAGCGAACGCGGAACAGCCUAAACCAGUCGGCUUGCCGGCUGGGGUUGCGGGACCUCAACAUGGCAGCGUGAUGCAUAGCGGAACGGUCUGGAAAGUCCGGCCAAAGAGGGUGAUAGCCCCGUAUGCGAAAUGCUGAACGCGCCUAGAGGUAUCCCGAGUAGGUCGGGACACGUGAAACCCUGACUGAAUCUGGGGGGCCCACCCUCCAAGGCUAAAUACUCACUGGUGACCGAUAGUGAACUAGUACCGCGAGGGAAAGGUGAAAAGUACCCCUGUUAGGGGAGUGAAAUAGUACCUGAAACCGUGUGCUUACAAGCAGUGGGAGCCCUUCGGGGUGACCGCAUGCCUUUUGCAUAAUGAGUCCGCGAGUCACAGUAAGUGGCAAGGUUAAGCUCUUAUGGAGAAUAGCCGAAGCGAAAGCGAGUGCGAAAUGUGCGACUUUAGUCGCGUGCGGUGGACCCGAAGCCGGGUGAGCUACCCAUGGCCAGGCUGAAGCUUCAGUAACAUGAAGUGGAGGGCCGAACCAUUGCAUGUUGAAAAAUGCUUGGAUGAGCUGUGGGUUGGAGUGAAAGGCUUACCAAACCCGGUGAUAGCUGGUUCUCUCCGAAAUAGCUUUAGGGCUAGCCUGCGCGAAUGCUCGGGUCGGGGGUAGAGUACUGACUGGAUGAUGGCCCUUACCGGGGUACUGACGCCAAUCAAACUCCGAAUACCGAUCCAGAACACGCGUGGAGUCAGACUGUGGGGGAUAAGCUCCAUAGUCGAAAGGGAAACAGCCCAGAUCGCCAGCUAAGGCCCCUAAAGUCGGUUAAGUGCUUAAGGAUGUGAGAUUGCAGAGACAGCUAGGAUGUUGGCUUAGAGGCAGCCAUCAUUUAAACAGUGCGUAAUAGCUUACUAGUCGAGUGAUUUUGCGCCGAAAAUGAACGGGACUAAACCGACUGCCGAAGCUGCGGAUGUCCUCUUUGAGGACGUGGUAGGAGAGCGUUCCAUGUGCGCCGAAGGGCAAGGGUAACCGAGCCUGGAGCGCAUGGAAGUGAUUAUGCGGACAUGAGUAACGAAAAACAGGGUGAGAAUCCCUGUCGCCGAAAUCCCAAGGUUUCCUGGGGAAGGUUCGUCCGCCCAGGGUUAGUCGGCCCCUAAGCCGAGGCCGAAAGGCGUAGGUGAUGGGCAACAGGUCAACAUUCCUGUACUACCGGUUCAACAUUUGAGCGAUGGAGUGACACAGGAGGCUAGGCCAGCCACCCGCUGGUUGUGGUGGUCUAAGCGCGUAGGGAGUUCCGGCAGGUAAAUCCGCCGGAGCAUUAUCCUGAAACGUGAUGGGACGUUGAGCUCUUGUAGCAAGACGGAUUGGUUGAUGCCAUGCUGGCAAGAAAAACUUCUAGUGAGUUGAACAGGUAACCGUACCUAAACCGACACAGGUGGGAGGGUAGAGUAUACCAAGGCGCGCGAGAGAAACCUCGUUAAGGAACUCGGCAAUUUAGCCCCGUAACUUCGGGAGAAGGGGUCCUUCUGUUGGUGAUUAUUUUAUGAGCUGACGGAAGGCGCAGUGAAAGAGCCUNNNNNNNNNNNNNNNNNNNNNNNNNNNNNNNNNNNNNNNNNNNNNNNNNNNNNNNNNNNNNNNNNNNNNNNNNNNNNNNNNNNCCUGCACGAAUCGUGUAACGAUCUGGGCGCUGUCUCAACGAGGAUCUCGGUGAAAUUGUAAUUCCGGUGAAGAUGCCGGAUACCCGCAGUAGGACGGAAAGACCCCGUGAACCUUUACUGUAGUCUGAUAUUGGUGUUUGGUUAAUCAUGUGUAGCAUAGCUGGGAGACUUUGAAGCUGUCUCGUCAGGGACGGUGGAGUCAUCAGUGAAAUACCAGUCUUGAUUAAGCGGCCAUCUAACCCUGGCCCGUGAAUCCGGGCGGGGGACAGUGUCAGAGGGUCAGUUUGACUGGGGCGGUUUCCUCCCAAAAAGUAACGGAGGAGUUCGAAGGUCACCUCAGCAUGGUCGGCAAUCAUGCGUAGAGCGUAAUGGUAUAUAGGUGGCUUAACUGCGAGACCUACAAGU
rnacentral:rRNA from 1 species